ACAAGCCAAGAGAUAUGACAGAAAAGCAUGACUACUCUGACAGCAAAAACAAGCAAAUAUCUCCAGAGGGGAUUAGUCCCUGUGCUUCAAAGUCACUAAAACAAAGAAAGCUGAGCCAGCUUCAAGACAACACCUGUCCAUCAGACAUGAGCUAAU
rnacentral:lncRNA from 1 species